rnacentral:rRNA from 1 species
AGAUAAUAGAUACCCGGGUAGUCCACGCCCUAAACGAUGUCGACUGGUUGUUGGGGGUUUGACACUCUCAGUAAACGAAAGCUAAACGCGUGAAGUCGACCGCCCGGGGAGUACGGCCGCAAGGUUAAAACUCAAAGGAAUUGACGGGGACCCGCACAAGCGGUGGAUUAUGUGGAUUAAUUCGAUGCAACGCGAAAAACCUUACCUACCCUUGACAUGUCCGGGAGCCUGCUGAGAGGCGGGUGUGCUCGAAAGAGAACCGGAACACAGGUGCUGCAUGGCUGUCGUCAGCUCGUGUCGUGAGAUGUUGGGUUAAGUCCCGCAACGAGCGCAACCCUUGCCAUUAGUUGCCACCCGUAAGGGGGCACUCUAAUGGGGCUGCCGGUGACAAACCGGAGGAAGGUGGGGAUGACGUCAAGUCCUCAUGGCCCUUAUGGGUAGGGCUUCACACGUAAUACAAUGGCGCGUACAGAGGGUUGCCAAGGAGCGAUCUGGAGCCAAUCCCGUAAAGCGCGUCGUAGUCCGGAUUGCAGUCUGCAACUCGACUGC